CCAGGUAUCAUUCAGAGAGACUUGAGGCCAUCAGCAUAUCCUCCUGAGAACUGAGGAAACAAUUUGAGGAAAGAAUCUGCACGGUCUGCAGCGAAGUUGGGAAAGAGAUUCUGCGAAACGUCAUAGAGGCUUGCUUCUGAAGGUGGCUGAAAGUUGUUGAAAAUGGAAGUGCUCCUCUGGAGGCAUACAACAAGUCUUCAAGAGGUUGGAACUUGAUGGGAAGCCUAGCAAGAUAGACUGCAACAACUCCUUUGUCGGUGCUAAACAUAUGAAUAAACUCAGUUUCUUGUGUAAUUUUUAGGAUUUUAUUAAGUGUAUAGUGACUUUUGGGAGACCCUGUAUUUCUAUAUUUAAUACACAUAUGUCACCCACA